rnacentral:sRNA from 1 species
GCUGGGUGCAGUGGCACACACCUGUAAUCCCAGAUGCUCGGGAGGCUGAGGCAGGAGGAUUGCUAGUUCAAAGCCAGCCUCAGCAACUUAGUGUGGACCUAAGCAACUCAGUGAGACCCUGUUUCUA